UACGAAGGGGCUAGCGUUGUUCGGAAUCACUGGGCGUAAAGCGCACGCAGGCGGAUCGUUAAGUCAGGGGUGAAAUGCCGAGGCUCAACCUCGGAACUGCCUUUGAUACUGGCGAUCUUAGAGUCCGGGAGAGGUGAGUGGAACUCCGAGUGUAGAGGUGAAAUUCGUAGAUAUUCGGAAGAACACCAGUGGCGAAGGCGGCUCACUGGCCCGGUACUGACGCUCAGGUGCGAAAGCGUGGGGAGCAAACAGG
rnacentral:rRNA from 1 species